GGGUUGUGAGGUUAAGCGACUAAGCGUACACGGUGGAUGCCCUGGCAGUCAGAGGCGAUGAAGGACGUGCUAAUCUGCGAUAAGCGUCGGUAAGGUGAUAUGAACCGUUAUAACCGGCGAUUUCCGAAUGGGGAAACCCAGUGUGUUUCGACACACUAUCAUUAACUGAAUCCAUAGGUUAAUGAGGCGAACCGGGGGAACUGAAACAUCUAAGUACCCCGAGGAAAAGAAAUCAACCGAGAUUCCCCCAGUAGCGGCGAGCGAACGGGGAGCAGCCCAGAGCCUGAAUCAGUGUGUGUGUUAGUGGAAGCGUCUGGAAAGGCGCGCGAUACAGGGUGACAGCCCCGUACACAAAAAUGCACAUGCUGUGAGCUCGAUGAGUAGGGCGGGACACGUGGUAUCCUGUCUGAAUAUGGGGGGACCAUCCUCCAAGGCUAAAUACUCCUGACUGACCGAUAGUGAACCAGUACCGUGAGGGAAAGGCGAAAAGAACCCCGGCGAGGGGAGUGAAAAAGAACCUGAAACCGUGUACGUACAAGCAGUGGGAGCACGCUUAGGCGUGUGACUGCGUACCUUUUGUAUAAUGGGUCAGCGACUUAUAUUCUGUAGCAAGGUUAACCGAAUAGGGGAGCCGAAGGGAAACCGAGUCUUAACUGGGCGUUAAGUUGCAGGGUAUAGACCCGAAACCCGGUGAUCUAGCCAUGGGCAGGUUGAAGGUUGGGUAACACUAACUGGAGGACCGAACCGACUAAUGUUGAAAAAUUAGCGGAUGACUUGUGGCUGGGGGUGAAAGGCCAAUCAAACCGGGAGAUAGCUGGUUCUCCCCGAAAGCUAUUUAGGUAGCGCCUCGUGAAUUCAUCUCCGGGGGUAGAGCACUGUUUCGGCAAGGGGGUCAUCCCGACUUACCAACCCGAUGCAAACUGCGAAUACCGGAGAAUGUUAUCACGGGAGACACACGGCGGGUGCUAACGUCCGUCGUGAAGAGGGAAACAACCCAGACCGCCAGCUAAGGUCCCAAAGUCAUGGUUAAGUGGGAAACGAUGUGGGAAGGCCCAGACAGCCAGGAUGUUGGCUUAGAAGCAGCCAUCAUUUAAAGAAAGCGUAAUAGCUCACUGGUCGAGUCGGCCUGCGCGGAAGAUGUAACGGGGCUAAACCAUGCACCGAAGCUGCGGCAGCGACGCUUAUGCGUUGUUGGGUAGGGGAGCGUUCUGUAAGCCUGCGAAGGUGUGCUGUGAGGCAUGCUGGAGGUAUCAGAAGUGCGAAUGCUGACAUAAGUAACGAUAAAGCGGGUGAAAAGCCCGCUCGCCGGAAGACCAAGGGUUCCUGUCCAACGUUAAUCGGGGCAGGGUGAGUCGACCCCUAAGGCGAGGCCGAAAGGCGUAGUCGAUGGGAAACAGGUUAAUAUUCCUGUACUUGGUGUUACUGCGAAGGGGGGACGGAGAAGGCUAUGUUGGCCGGGCGACGGUUGUCCCGGUUUAAGCGUGUAGGCUGGUUUUCCAGGCAAAUCCGGAAAAUCAAGGCUGAGGCGUGAUGACGAGGUACUACGGUGCUGAAGCAACAAAUGCCCUGCUUCCAGGAAAAGCCUCUAAGCAUCAGGUAACAUCAAAUCGUACCCCAAACCGACACAGGUGGUCAGGUAGAGAAUACCAAGGCGCUUGAGAGAACUCGGGUGAAGGAACUAGGCAAAAUGGUGCCGUAACUUCGGGAGAAGGCACGCUGAUAUGUAGGUGAAGUCCCUCGCGGAUGGAGCUGAAAUCAGUCGAAGAUACCAGCUGGCUGCAACUGUUUAUUAAAAACACAGCACUGUGCAAACACGAAAGUGGACGUAUACGGUGUGACGCCUGCCCGGUGCCGGAAGGUUAAUUGAUGGGGUCAGCGCAAGCGAAGCUCUUGAUCGAAGCCCCGGUAAACGGCGGCCGUAACUAUAACGGUCCUAAGGUAGCGAAAUUCCUUGUCGGGUAAGUUCCGACCUGCACGAAUGGCGUAAUGAUGGCCAGGCUGUCUCCACCCGAGACUCAGUGAAAUUGAACUCGCUGUGAAGAUGCAGUGUACCCGCGGCAAGACGGAAAGACCCCGUGAACCUUUACUAUAGCUUGACACUGAACAUUGAGCCUUGAUGUGUAGGAUAGGUGGGAGGCUUUGAAGUGUGGACGCCAGUCUGCAUGGAGCCGACCUUGAAAUACCACCCUUUAAUGUUUGAUGUUCUAACGUUGACCCGUGAUCCGGGUUGCGGACAGUGUCUGGUGGGUAGUUUGACUGGGGCGGUCUCCUCCUAAAGAGUAACGGAGGAGCACGAAGGUUGGCUAAUCCUGGUCGGACAUCAGGAGGUUAGUGCAAUGGCAUAAGCCAGCUUGACUGCGAGCGUGACGGCGCGAGCAGGUGCGAAAGCAGGUCAUAGUGAUCCGGUGGUUCUGAAUGGAAGGGCCAUCGCUCAACGGAUAAAAGGUACUCCGGGGAUAACAGGCUGAUACCGCCCAAGAGUUCAUAUCGACGGCGGUGUUUGGCACCUCGAUGUCGGCUCAUCACAUCCUGGGGCUGAAGUAGGUCCCAAGGGUAUGGCUGUUCGCCAUUUAAAGUGGUACGCGAGCUGGGUUUAGAACGUCGUGAGACAGUUCGGUCCCUAUCUGCCGUGGGCGCUGGAGAACUGAGGGGGGCUGCUCCUAGUACGAGAGGACCGGAGUGGACGCAUCACUGGUGUUCGGGUUGUCAUGCCAAUGGCACUGCCCGGUAGCUAAAUGCGGAAGAGAUAAGUGCUGAAAGCAUCUAAGCACGAAACUUGCCCCGAGAUGAGUUCUCCCUGACCCUUUAAGGGUCCUGAAGGAACGUUGAAGACGACGACGUUGAUAGGCCGGGUGUGUAAGCGCAGCGAUGCGUUGAGCUAACCGGUACUAAUGAACCGUGAGGCUUAACCUUACAACGCCGAAGGUGUUU
rnacentral:rRNA from 1 species